UUUCUCCCCCAAGAUAGGCUGGGCUGUGUUUCUUGGUUUGGGAAGAUUCCAGUCCCCUAGAAAUUGGUCCAAUCU
rnacentral:precursor_RNA from 1 species